rnacentral:rRNA from 1 species
CCUACGGGUGGCAGCAGUGGGGAAUAUUGCACAAUGGGGGAAACCCUGAUGCAGCGACGCCGCGUGAGUGAAGAAGUAUCUCGGUACGUAAAGCUCUAUCAGCAGGGAAGAAAAUGACGGUACCUGACUAAGAAGCCCCGGCUAACUACGUGCCAGCAGCCGCGGUAAUACGUAGGGGGCAAGCGUUAUCCGGAUUUACUGGGUGGAAAGGGAGCGUAGACGGCAGCACAAGUCUGGAGUGAAAUCCCGGGGCUUAACCCCGGAACUGCUUUGGAAACUGUGCGGCUGGAGUGCUGGAGGGGUGAGCGGAAUUCCUAGUGUAGCGGGGAAAUGCGUAGAUAUUAGGAGGAACACCGGGGGCGAAGGCGGCUGACUGGACUGUAACUGACGUUGAGGCUCGAAAGCGUGGGGAGCAAACAGGAUUAGAUACCCGGGUAGUC